rnacentral:rRNA from 1 species
GAUGAACGCUGGCGGCGUGCUUAACACAUGCAAGUCGAACGAUUAAAGCCCCUUCGGGGGUGUAUAGAGUGGCGAACGGGUGAGUAACACGUGGGCAACCUGCCCUGCGCUUCGGGAUAACUCACGGAAACGUGAGCUAAUACCGGAUACUCCGGUCUGACCGCAUGGUCGGAUCGGGAAAGUUCCGGCGGCGCAGGAUGGGCCCGCGGCCCAUUAGCUAGUUGGUGAGGUAACGGCCCACCAAGGCGACGACGGGUAGCCGGGCUGAGAGGCGGAGCGGCACCCUGGGACUGAGACACGGCCAAGACUCCUACGGGAGGCAGCAGUGGGGAAGUUUGCGCAAUGGGCGAAAGCCUGACGCAGCAACGCCGCGUGCGGGAUGAAGGCCUUCGGGUUGUAAACCGCUUUCAGCAGGGAUGAAACUGACAGUACCUGCAGAAGAAGCCCCGGCUAACUACGUGCCAGCAGCCGCGGUAACAC